GCCUAGUUAGCUUUGAGGGUAGCGCGCCUGUCUUGUAAGCGCUAGGCCGCGGGUUCGAUUCCCGCCCGGGGCG
rfam:Asian citrus Psyllid, Diaphorina citri - Florida Strain, whole genome shotgun sequence.